CGUAAUAGAUGAGUUAUGAGAAGCACAGAAAAGGGAGCAACCAAUUCUGCCUGGGGCAGGAGGAGAACAAAGAUUCCCAGGAGCAGCUGAUCCUUUUAAAGUAAGACUUGAAGACGGCACAGGAGUCGCCAAGCAGACAACAGGAGCUAGGAGUACCUGGCAGAGACAAGAGUAGAUGCAAAGACACAGAGGUGAGUGAACACGGGGAUGGUGCGAUUCAGCACCAUAGGAAUCAGUUCACCCUUAUUAGCCACCGAGGCACGCGGGUUAAGAAGAGGGGGAGGGGCGGGUCCCUCCUUUGAAAAACUCGUUUCCAGGAGUUAUCCUGAUGGGAAUUGCUCAGGUGGUUCUUGAACAAGCAGGUCUCUCCCCUCCCCCACCAACACGCAGCAAUUGCCACGCCUCCAGGUGGGGGGAGGGGCGGGCCUAAAGCCAAGGCCGCACGGGUGAAAAGCACCCGGUCAUUUACCACCUCCUUUCCCAUCCUUCUUUGCUCCUGCAGCGCACCCCUAGGAGAGAGGUGUGAUCAGCUGCCCCACUUGCCAGAGGAGAAACAGGCUCCACAGGCCGGGUGACUUGCCCAGGGUCACUCACCUCCCUCGCUCCCAAGGGCAGCCAGGAGCCCUCCCCGCCCAGACUCACCCUUCCCAGUGCCCUGUUUUCCGCCUCUCUGCAGCCCCUCGGGUAGUGACGCCAGCUGUGUCACCCGGCAGCCCCUCCGGUUAAGGGCACAAAGAACUGCCCGCUGCAGGGGCCCGAGGGUCUGGUGGUGGCGAGGCGGGGUUGGGGCGGAGGUGGGGCGGGGGAGCGGCCUCCCGCUGGCUGUGUUUUGCUCUGGGAGGAAUCCCCCACGGAGCCAGAGCCUCCGUCCUGUUCCAGGGCUGCCCCAUGAAUUAAACAUGCCCCAGUGGUUAACUCAGUAAUGCUUUUAUUAAUAGUUAAUUACUCAAUGCGCGCUGGGGAAAUGAGCCUCACUCCGGCCUCGUAAAUUAAGGCAGUGAUCUCGUGAAAAAAGCCAAUGGGAGUUCAUUACCCCCCACCCCCCACCCCAGCAUCCCACCUCCCGGCUCACCAUUUAGCGGCGCUAAACCAUCUGGGGAGGGAGGUGGGGCGCGGACGUGAUUAGGGUACCGGGACUUUUUCAGGGUGGAGGUGGGAAGAGGCGGAGGAAUAUUUCCGGGUUUCCUCCGAGAGAAGGGGCCCCUGCGGGUUGUGGCCAAGUGUCAGCGGGGACGGUACUUCCAGCCUCGUGGCGGCGGUCUUUCGGCCUGUGUGCCUCGUCACAGCUGGGGACUCAGCGCGGCCCCCGAGGGGCUCCUGGCGGGGCAGGGCCGCCUGUCCUGGGUGCGGGAGCGGGACUCCCAGGCAGAAAGGAGCGGGCGUCGGGCGCUCCCGCCUCAGAGCCUCGGGCCUCCCUCCCCCGCUCGGCCUUUCUCAUUUCACCAGCGUCAAGCUUGCCCGGCUAGGUUUUUGUUGUGGCUGAAGCCAAUUUCCCGUCCUGAUUUUGCUGCUGAGCUGGAUGAGGGGCUUGUUCUAACCUGGUUUGGCUUUUCUAAAUUUAACUUUCUCCCAUGUUUUGCUUCCCUGGAGACAGAAGCCCCUCUGUCUAUUUUCCUGGGACGUGAAAGCCAGCACCUGCUUUGAACCUACUGUGUGCCAGGACCUGCCCCCCUGGUUUAUGCAGCAACUGUCACCUUGGACCAGUAGCUGCACCACGCUGGAUCUCCAGUCCUUCAUCUGAAACCAGAGAUGAUCCCAGAUGGUCCCUGUAUCUGGAGUUCCUGCGAUGAUUAAAUGAAGUUCUCAGAACACUGCUGAACACCUGGUGUUGGAGACGCUCGUUCCAGCGCUGGGUUCUGGGCAUCAGACGGCUCCGAGCCUCACUCUCCCCAUCUGCAGAACGGGGCGAUUUCGGCUUCUCUCACGGGGCUGCUGUGGGGCUCCAGUUAGACCACCACCACCGUGCCCGGCCUUGUGACUCAUAGCGCUGUCUGAAGGAUUCUUCAUCCUGGGCCACUAGGAAUCACCAUGCCUCCUGGGUUUGCUCUUCUUGCUACAAAAGGCUCCCCAGGCCUUCGCCCCAGCUCUGGAGACGCUCCUCAGCCUGGUUCAUUUGGAGCGAGCCCGGCCCCUCUGUGUUGGGAAACAGGGGUCCCUUCCAGUCUCCGGCCCUGGGCAGAGGGAGGAGGUGGCCUCAGGAUGCAGAGGCAGGAGGGCGUGGAUUAGAAACCCAUCACAGAAAUGACUUUCUUAUCACGCCACGACCUGAAUUGACAGAACCAACUCUCGAAAUUGAAUUGUCUCCCCCCUCGGCUGCCUCAGCUCCUAGUUCCUUCCCCACUGCCACCUCCACCUCUGAAAGCCCCGCUGGGAGAGACCAAGAGACAGAGAUGCAGGAGAGAAGCAAAGGUAGGAAAAUGGGGUGGCUAGGGACCCCAGGCCCAUGGGGGGCCAAGCAGCAGGGAUGGGAGGAGAUAGGGGGUGACGUGGGACCUCAGCACAGUGGGGGCUGCCUGCCACCCUGCUCCUUUCCCACCUGCCCCUGCACACCGCCACCGCUGGCAGGCUGGGGGCCUCUCCUUCCUGCUGGCCCCUCUCCAGCCCCCACCUUGGCGCCUCCAUCAAGCCCAGAGCAGGCCCUGGUGGCGGGGGCAGAACCCUGGGCUGGAGCCCACGGGUGCUUGGAAGCAGCUCCAGUGAGUUCCUGGCAGAGCCCGGCUGCAGGUGGUAGGGAAACGGCCGAGGGUGGCCGGGGGCAGCCAGCUGUGUAAUCGGUCUUGACUCUCCCACAUCCAGCCCGAGGCAGGAGGUGAGCAGGGCGGGGCAGAGGUGAGUGGAGGGAGCAUCCGGCCCCAGCUGCCGCCAGCUCCCCAAGCAGGCCGACCUAGAGUACCCUGUGGGGGCUCAGAGCCCCGGAAACGCAGGACAGGCUACAGGUGUUCUGGGCAGGGGGCUGGGACCCAGUAUGUAACCCUCUGUAGCCCCUAUGGUACAGCCCAGCCCAGCCUCCAGGCCUGAUGGCAGGCCAGAAGCUAAAUGCUGCCGCCUCCCAGGCUGAGCUGGUCCUGGCUCCCCUUCCCAAGCCAGCCUCUCCAUCUAGAGCCUGAAAGUCUAGGAUUCGCUCAUUAACUGGCCCCUGGCCUGCAGCCAGGCAGGGGUCCCCCCGACACACCCCUUUCUCCUCAGCCUCUGCUCACCCCUCUCCCCACCAUGUAUCUGCCCAUCACUGGUCAGGUGCAGAUGGCCUGAGGGUGGACAGUCACUGGAGCCCGGGAACACAGCAAGGGAAGGACCCCAGCCCGGAAUCUUGUGGUCCCAGACCUUUCCCCACUCAGCCCUUCCUCCUCCCCAAACACACACACACACACACACACACACACACACACACACACACACACAGAGCUUUGGUAUCAUUCAGAAUGUGUUGUUGACUCUCAAGCUCAUUCCUAUCAAUUUCAGGCGCCUCUUAAAUCCAAGCCCCAUUUUACAGGUGGGGAAACUGGGGCCCAGGGAGGGAGUGGGCUUAUCUGAAGGCGCACAAGGAAAUCCCUCUAAGCCCAGCCCAUCUUUCCCUCCCAGGGUCUUCCCCUGAGAGCCCCCACUGGCCUCGAGACACUCUCGCCAGGCUUUCCAGUUCCUGCUGGGUUCCCUGCUCACCUGUGCCUCCCGGGCCUGGCCAAUUGCAGGGCUCCAAAGUUAAUAAAUCAAGGUGACUUUGGGGACAAGAAUCGGCCUCUUUCUCCCUUGUCCCUCCCAUUUACAUAAUCCUGGCUGGCAAUAUGAUAAUGAUGUUUGUUAAAGACAGAGCACAAUAAAUUAAUACCGUUAAGUUGUUGCUGCAAAA